rnacentral:rRNA from 1 species
AACGAACGCUGGCGGCAGGCUUAACACAUGCAAGUCGAACGCUCCGCAAGGGGAGUGGCAGACGGGUGAGUAACGCGUGGGAACAUACCCUUUCCUGCGGAAUAGCUCCGGGAAACUGGAAUUAAUACCGCAUACGCCCUACGGGGGAAAGAUUUAUCGGGGAAGGAUUGGCCCGCGUUGGAUUAGCUAGUUGGUGGGGUAAAGGCCUACCAAGGCGACGAUCCAUAGCUGGUCUGAGAGGAUGAUCAGCCACAUUGGGACUGAGACACGGCCCAAACUCCUACGGGGGGCAGCAGUGGGGAAUAUUGGACAAUGGGCGCAAGCCUGAUCCAGCCAUGCCGCGUGAGUGAUGAAGGCCUUAGGGUUGUAAAGCUCUUUCACCGGAGAAGAUAAUGACGGUAUCCGGAGAAGAAGCCCCGGCUAACUUCGUGCCAGCCGCCGCUGUAA